UACGAGGGGGGCGAGCGUUGUUCGGAAUUAUUGGGCGUAAAGGGCUCGUAGGCGGUCUGUUGCGUCGGGAGUGAAAACUUACAGCUUAACUGUGAGCGUGCUUCCGAUACGGGCAGACUUGAGGUAUUCAGGGGAGAACGGAAUUCCUGGUGUAGCGGUGAAAUGCGCAGAUAUCAGGAGGAACACCGGUGGCGAAAGCGGCGCACUGGACCAUAACUGACGCUGAGGCGCGAAAGCUAGGGGAGCAAACAGG
rnacentral:rRNA from 1 species